rnacentral:rRNA from 1 species
CGUAACGGGUGAGUAAUACAUCGGAACGUGCCCAGUAGUGGGGGAUAACCCGGCGAAAGCCGGACUAAUACCGCAUACGACCUACGGGUGAAAGCAGGGGAUCGCAAGACCUUGCGCUAUCGGAGCGGCCGAUGUCAGAUUAGCUAGUUGGUGGGGUAAAAGCCUACCAAGGCGACGAUCUGUAGCUGGUCUGAGAGGACGACCAGCCACACUGGGACUGAGACACGGCCCAG